rnacentral:rRNA from 1 species
AUUGAACGCUGGCGGCAGGCCUAACACAUGCAAGUCGAGCGGAUGAAGGGAGCUUGCUCCUGGAUUCAGCGGCGGACGGGUGAGUAAUGCCUAGGAAUCUGCCUGGUAGUGGGGGAUAACGUCCGGAAACGGGCGCUAAUACCGCAUACGUCCUGAGGGAGAAAGUGGGGGAUCUUCGGACCUCACGCUAUCAGAUGAGCCUAGGUCGGAUUAGCUAGUUGGUGGGGUAAAGGCCUACCAAGGCGACGAUCCGUAACUGGUCUGAGAGGAUGAUCAGUCACACUGGAACUGAGACACGGUCCAGACUCCUACGGGAGGCAGCAGUGGGGAAUAUUGGACGAUGGGCGAAAGCCUGAUACAGGCAAGCCGCGGGUGUGAAGAAGGAGUUAGGAUUGGAAAGCAAUUAAGGUUGGGAGGAAGGGAAGUAAGUUAAUACCGUGCUGUUAUGACGGUACCAACAGAAUAAGCACCGGCUAACUUCGUG